rnacentral:tRNA from 1 species
ACCUGGCUGGCUCAGUUGGUAGAGCGUGUGACUCUUGAUCUCAGGGUGGUGAGUUCAAGCCCCAUGUUGGGCA